CCUACGGGGGGCAGCAGUGAGGAAUAUUGGUCAAUGGACGCAAGCCUGAACCAGCCAAGUCGCGUGCAGGAAGACGGCCCUAUGAGUUGUAAACCGCUUUUGUACGGGGGUAAACGCAGACACGCGUAUCGUUCUGAAAGUAUCCUACGAAUAAGGAUCGGCUAACUCCGUGCCAGCAGCCGCGGUAAUACGGAGGAUGCGAGCGUUAUCCGGAUUUAUUGGGUUUAAAGGGUGCGUAGGCGGUCGGGCAAGUUAGCGGUAAAAUUCCGAGGCUCAACCUCUUCGAUGCGUGGAAUAUGGUGUUCUUGAGUGAGCGUGAAGUAUGCGGAAUGCGUGGUGGAGCGGUGAAAUGCAUAGAUAUCACGCAGAACUCCGAUUGCGAAGGCAGCAUACCGGCGCUCAACUGACGCGCAUGCACGAAAGUGUGGGUAUCGAACAGGAUUAGAUACCCUAGGAGUC
rnacentral:rRNA from 1 species